GUUCAGAUCUCUGAGCUACAUUCUGAGCUUCACUAGCAAAACAGCCUGUCUUAACUUCUUUCAGCCACAUGUGCCACAUCAGAUUGGCUCUCGUGAAAUGGCUGGCUGGAGUCCAGCACAUCUGCAGGUGAUGCAUUCUUCUGAGUUUUCCAUCCUGAUGUGAAGGGGCCUAUAGUGGCAAAAAAAACAUUUUUUAACAUACAGAUCAAGGAUGAUCCAGCCCCAGUUCCUUUACUUGGAAUACAAGUUUAAAAAGGUUGCUUUUCUGAAGAAAUCACAAAUCAGUCUAUACUGAAAAGAGACAUUAAAGAGAAGCUAAAGAAUAACUUUUUUAAAAAAUUUAUUUAUUUAGUGGUGCUUUACCACUGAAUUAUAUUCCCAGACCUCCAUUUUUUUUUUUUAAUUGAAACAGGGUUUUGCAAAGUUGCUGAGACUAGUCUUGAAUUUGUGAUCUUCCUGCUCACCCUCCAGAGUUGAGUUGUGGGAUUAUAGGUGUGUACCACCAAGCCCAGAAAACAACUCUUACUUUACUUUUUCUUCCCCUCUCAAAAUACUUCUAGUGCUGGGACCACGAAAACUAAAAAUUAAAGAGACAUUGACCAAAUCUAGAAAAAGGUGGGCAAUAUAAUGGGCAAAACAGAAGGGAGUCAAAGUAAACACUGGAGGAAAUAGGAUUCUUCCUCCUUCCAUACACUUCCUGAAUCUAACCAUAGAACACUGUGCCUUCCUCAUCUCUUCCACACACACACACCAUAUCCACUUACUGGCUGGAUGUGGUGUAGUAUGCUUGUAAUCCCCACUACCCUGGAGGCUGAGGCAGAAGGAUCACAAAUUCAAGGCCACCAGGGGGCAAAACCUCAUCUCAAAAAAUGAAAAUGGCUUGAGAUAUAGCUCAGUAAUAGAGCCUCUCUGAGUCUCAAUAACGCUAGGAACAGUGGUGCUUGCCUAUAAUCCCAGCAAUUUAGGAACCCGAGGCAGGAGGAUUGCAAGGUCUUCAAGGCAGUCAAGAUGACAUAGUGAGACCUUGUCUCAAAAUAAAAAAUCAAAAGGGCCAGGGAUAUAGCUCGUGAUAAAGCACAUGGCUUGAGGCCUUGGGUUCAAUCUUCAGCACUACACAUUUACCCCACCCCAAAUUUGAAAAAACUAAACAUACCAGAAUAAAGGAUGCUGUUCCCACUUAGUUUUGUUAGUGCUCUUUGACAUAAUUUACCUUUGAUAUCAGUUUGUGUAUAUGGGUAAUUUUACUUCUGUGGCUUCUAUGUGAACUUAUUUAAAAACUAUAAAGAUGUAGAUUUUUAUAUUAGUUCAUCUAAAUAGUUUAUUUAGUUGGAUCCUUCUUUGUCUCCUUUCUAUCUGGUACACCACUCUAGGGGAAAAUGGAGUUAAGUUUUGUUUUUUUUCUUUAAUAUUUUUUAUAGUUUUUUAAAUAGUUCCGAACCCAGUCUCUGAGGUAUGGCCAUGCAAGCGCUCAACCACUGAGUUACAUCCCCAGC
rnacentral:lncRNA from 1 species